rnacentral:rRNA from 1 species
UACAGAGGGUGCAAGCGUUGUCCGGAAUUAUUGGGCGUAAAGAGCUUGUAGGCGGUCUGUCGCGUCUGCUGUGAAAAUCCGGGGCUCAACCCCGGACUUGCAGUGGGUACGGGCAGACUAGAGUGUGGUAGGGGAGACUGGAAUUCCUGGUGUAGCGGUGAAAUGCGCAGAUAUCAGGAGGAACACCGAUGGCGAAGGCAGGUCUCUGGGCCACUACUGACGCUGAGAAGCGAAAGCAUGGGGAGCGAACAGG